rnacentral:misc_RNA from 1 species
AAGUCGUAACAAGGUUUCCGUAGGUGAACCUGCGGAAGGAUCAUUACUGAAAAAAACUCGAGGAUGUUGCUGGCGGCCACGCACGUGCACUCCUUGAACUAUUUCUGACCCUUUCCACACCAUGUGCACCUGUUGUAGGUCUGCCGACCUAUGUUUUUCUAAAACCCCAUCGAAUGUAUACGGAAUGUAUGAUUGCCAGGGCUUUUUAGCCCAAGUCAAUAAAGCACAACUUUCAACAAUGGAUCUCUUGGCUCUC